AUCUACAGCCAGAUCACCCUGAAAGAGCCCCAUCUGCUCUGAUCCAGGAAGCUAAGCACGGUGGGGCUGGGUUAGCGCUUGGAUA
ensembl:rRNA 5S_rRNA 5S ribosomal RNA